AACGAACGCUGGCGGCAGGCUUAACACAUGCAAGUCGAACGCUCGUAGCAAUACGGGAGUGGCAGACGGGUGAGUAACGCGUGGGAACGUGCCCAAAGGUACGGAACAACUCCGGGAAACUGGAGCUAAUGCCGUAUGUGCCCGAAAGGGGAAAGAUUUAUCGCCUUUGGAUCGGCCCGCGUCGGAUUAGCUAGUUGGUGGGGUAAUGGCCUACCAAGGCGACGAUCCGUAGCUGGUCUGAGAGGAUGAUCAGCCACACUGGGACUGAGACACGGCCCAGACUCCUACGGGAGGCAGCAGUGGGGAAUAUUGGACAAUGGGCGCAAGCCUGAUCCAGCCAUGCCGCGUGAGUGAUGAGGGCCUUAGGGUUGUAAAGCUCUUUCGCCAGGGACGAUAAUGACGGUACCUGGAUAAGAAGCCCCGGCUAACUUCGUGCCAGCAGCCGCGGUAA
rnacentral:rRNA from 1 species